rnacentral:rRNA from 1 species
GAUGAACGCUGGCGGCGUGCCUAAUACAUGCAAGUCGAGCGAACAGACGAGGAGCUUGCUCCUCUGACGUUAGCGGCGGACGGGUGAGUAACACGUGGAUAACCUACCUAUAAGACUGGGAUAACUUCGGGAAACCGGAGCUAAUACCGGAUAAUAUAUUGAACCGCAUGGUUCAAUAGUGAAAGACGGUUUUGCUGUCACUUAUAGAUGGAUCCGCGUCGCAUUAGCGAGUUGGUAAGGUAACGGCUUACCAAGGCAACGAUGCGUAUCCGACCUGAGAGAGUGAUCAGCCACACUGGAACUGAGACACGGUCCAUACUCCUACGGAAGGCAGCAGUAGGGAAUCUUCCGCAGUGGGCGAAAGCCUGACGGAGCAACGCCGCGUGAAUGAUGAAGGUCUUCGGAUCGUAAAACUCUGUUAUUAGGGAAGAACAAAUGUGUAAGUAACUAUGCACGUCUUGACGGUACCUAAUCAGAAAGCCACGGCUAACUACGUG